CAGGCCCCUCUUCUGCAGGUCUGCAGGAGUUUGCUGGAGGUCCACUCCAGACUCUGUUUGCUUGGGUAUCACCAGUGGAGGCUGCAGAAUAGCCAAGAUGGCUGCCUGCUCCUUCCUCUGGAAGCUUCAUCCCAGAGGGGCACCUGCCAGAUGCCAGGUGGAGCUCUCCUGUAUGAGGUGUCUGCUGACCCCUGCUGGGAGGUGUCUCCCCAUCAGGAUGAACGGGGGUCAGAGACCCACUUGAGGGGGCAGUCUGACCCUUAGCAGAGCUUGAACGCACUGCUGGGAGAUCUGCUGCUCUCUUCUGAGCCAGCAGGCAGGAACAUUUAAGUCUGCUGAAGCUGUGCCCAGAGCCACCCCUUCCCCCAGGUGCUCUGUCCCAGGGAAAUGGGAGUUUUAUCUAUAAGCCCCUGACUAGGGCUGCUGCCUUUCUUUCAGAGAUGCCCUGCCCAGAGUGGAGGAAUCUAGAGAGGCAGUCUGGCUACAGUGGCUUUGCUGCACUAUGGUGGGCUCUGCCCAAUCCCAACUUCCCAGCAGCUUUGUUUACACUGUGAGGGGAAAACCGCUUACUCAAGUUUCAGUAAUGGUGGAUACCCCUCCCCCGACCAAGGUCAAGUGUCCCAAGUCAACUUCAGACUGCCAGAGGAAGGAAUGGUUCUGUCUUGCUGGGGUUCCAGGUGCCACUGGGGUAUGAAGAAAAACUCCUGCAGCUAGCUCGGUGUCUGCCCAAAUGGCCACCCAGUUUUGUGCUCGAAACCCAGGGCCCUGGUGGUGUAGGCACCCAAGGGAAUCUCCUGGUCUGCAGGUUGUGAAGACUGUGGGAAAAGUGUAGUAUCUGGGCUGGAUAGCACCAUCCCUCAUGGCACAGUCCCUCAUGGCUUCCCUUGGCUAGGGGAGGGAUUUCCCUGACCCCUUGUACUUCCCAGGUAAAGUGACACACCAACCUGCUUCUCCUCACCCUCUCUGGGCUGUACCCACUGUCUAACCAGUCCCAAUAAGAUGAACUGGGUACCUCAAUUGGGAAUGUUGAAAUCAUCUGCCUUCCGCAUUGGUCUCACUAGGAGCUGCAGACCAGAGGUGUUCCUAUUUGGCCAUCUUGCCUGAACUCCGAUGAUUUUAUUCUUAAGUACACAAAAUACCAUCACUACAAUCACUGGGAUAAUACUGCAAUUGCUGUAUCAAUAAUCUUGCAUAUUAAAUUUUUAUAUUUAUAAUUUAGCAUACAAUAGUCAAUAAAUAAAUUUUUGAAAACGUUAUUAUCAUUAAUUGUUCCAAAAGGAUAUGUGUUAAGAAUUCCUAAUGAUAGCAUCCUUUGAAACCUUAAGGUCUGCUACAGUCUAUAAAGCCAGGGAUGUGAGAACCUAGGACUCUUCUGACAAGGUCUCAUUGCUUUGGCGGCCUUUGGGUUGCUAAGCAACUCUCCUUCCUCAACCCUAUGUCUGUCCCACA
rnacentral:lncRNA from 10 species